AUAGAAUCAUGCAUAUCAUCCACAACCCUUAGUUGUUCAUGGCAUCUUGAGAGCAGUGCUCAUAAUGUAAAGUAGUUCAUCUCAUCCACAAUGUUAAGUUGUUCAUAGCAUUUAGAGCCAUGGGCUCAUGACCAAGAAUCGUUCAUAUCACCCUCAGCCUCAGUUGUUUAUAGCUUCUAAAGGCCUAAGCUCACGAGAUCCCAAUUCGUUCAUAUCAUCCACUACUUUAAGUUAUU
rnacentral:lncRNA from 1 species